rnacentral:rRNA from 1 species
UACGUAGGGUGCAAGCGUUAAUCGGAAUUACUGGGCGUAAAGCGUGCGCAGGCGGUUGGGUAAGACAGAUGUGAAAUCCCCGGGCUCAACCUGGGAACUGCAUUUGUGACUGCACAGCUGGAGUGCGGCAGAGGGGGAUGGAAUUCCGCGUGUAGCAGUGAAAUGCGUAGAGAUGCGGAGGAACACCGAUGGCGAAGGCAGCCCCCUGGGCUAGCACUGACGCUCAGGCACGAAAGCGUGGGGAGCAAACAGG